GACGAACGCUGGCGGCGUGCUUAACACAUGCAAGUCGAACGGAAAGGCCUUUUCGGAGGUACUCGAGUGGCUAACGGGCGAGUAACACGUGGGUGAUUAGCCUUGCCUUCUGGGUUAAGCCUGGGAAACUGGGUCUAAUACCGGCUGGGACCGCACUCUAGUGUGUGUGUUGGAAAGUUUUUUGGGGGUAGGAUGAGCCCGCGGCCUCUCAGCUUGUUGGUGUGGUGAUGGCCUACCAAGGCGGCGACGGGUAGGCGGACUGAGAGGUUGGUCGGGCACAUUUGGGACGGGGUACGGCCCAGACUCCUACGGGGGGCAGGAGGGGGGAAUAAUGCAACAUGGGGGCGAGCCUGAUGCAGCGACGCCGCGGGGGGGAAGACGGCCUUCGGGUUGGAAACUCCUUUCGCCAGGGACGAAGCGUUUUGUGACGGUAACUGGAGAAGAAGCACCGGCUAACUACGUG
rnacentral:rRNA from 1 species